rnacentral:rRNA from 1 species
GAGGAAUAUUGGUCAAUGGACGCAAGUCUGAACCAGCCACGUCGCGUGAAGGAAGACGGCCCUACGGGUUGUAAACUUCUUUUGCAAGGGAAUAAAGUGGGCCACGUGUGGCCUUUUGCAAGUACCUUGCGAAUAAGGAUCGGCUAACUCCGUGCCAGCAGCCGCGGUAAUACGGAGGAUCCGAGCGUUAUCCGGAUUUAUUGGGUUUAAAGGGUGCUCAGGCGGGACAUUAAGUCGGCGGUGAAAUUUUGCGGCUCAACCGUAAAAGUGCCUUCGAAACUGGUAUCCUUGAGUGUGGAUGAGGUAGGCGGAAUUUGUGGUGUAGCGGUGAAAUGCAUAGAUAUCACGAGGAACUCCGAUUGCGCAGGCAGCUUACUAAGCCAUAACUGACGCUCAAGCACGAAGGCGUGGGGAUCAAACA